CCUGCGUUAGCUCAGCUGGUAGAGUGGAGGACUGUAGUAGUGAAACCUUAGACAUCCUUAGGUUGCUGGUUCAAUUCCAGCUCAAAGGA
rnacentral:tRNA from 1 species